CCUGACGCAGCAACGCCGCGUGGGGGAAGAGGGCCUUCGGGUUGUAAACCCCUUUCAGGGGGGACGAAGGUGUGACGGUGAAUAGCCGAUCGCACUGACGGUACCCCCAGAAGAAGCUCCGGCUAACUACGUGCCAGCAGCCGCGGUAAUACGUAGGGAGCAAGCGUUGUCCGGAAUCAUUGGGCGUAAAGCGCGCGUAGGCGGCCCGGUAAGUCCGCUCUGAAAGUCCAGGGCUCAACCCUGGAAUGCGGGUGGAUACUGCCGGGCUAGAGUCCGGAAGAGGCGAGUGGAAUUCCUGGUGUAGCGGUGGAAUGCGCAGAUAUCAGGAGGAACACCAAUAGCGAAGGCAGCUCGCUGGGACGGUACUGACGCUAAGGCGCGAAAGCGUGGGGAGCGAACAGGAUUAGAUACCCUGGUAGUCCACGCCGUAAACGAUGGGCAUUAGGUGUGGGAGGUGUCGACUCCUCCCGUGCCGACGCUAACGCAUUAAAUGCCCCGCCUGGGGAGUACGGCCGCAAGGCUAAAACUCAAAGGAAUUGACGG
rnacentral:rRNA from 1 species